GACGCGCGCCUCUUCUAACCCUAAAAACUGGAGCUGUAGGUGUUGCUCUUUCAGCGUCGCCCGCUGUUUUUCUCGCUGGCUUUCAGCGGGCCAGAAAGUUCAGACCUCUCAGCAGAUCGUCGCGUCGUUCUCAACCACAAAAAAUGCCAGCGCAAAGCGCGUCAGCCUAGAACCUUGCGGCCCCGGGCCGCCCAGCCCCGCACCCGCCUUGAGGCCGCGGUUGGCCUGGAGUUCUCCGGACUCCGCUGCCGCCGCGAAGAGUUCGUCUCUGUCAGCCGCGGAGUAUCAGGGGCUGGGGCCAGGCCCGGACAGCGUCGCAAGUACAGUAACGGAGCUGGUCCUUGUUCGGUGGCUUCCCUGAGCUGUAGGAAGUACACCCAGAGCUCGGCUCCUACAACC
rnacentral:telomerase_RNA from 13 species